UACGUAGGGUGCAAGCGUUAAUUGGAAUUACUGGGCGUAAAGCGUGCGCAGGCGGUGAUGUAAGACAGGUGUGAAAUCCCCGGGCUUAACCUGGGAACUGCAUUGGUGACUGGCAGGCUUUGAGUGUGGCAGAGGGAGGUAGAAUUCCACGUGUAGCAGUGAAAUGCGUAGAGAUGUGGAGGAACACCGGUGGCGAAGGCGGUUCUCUGGGCCUGUGCUGACGCUGAGGGACGAAGGCCAGGGGAGCAAACGGG
rnacentral:rRNA from 1 species